rnacentral:rRNA from 1 species
UACGUAGGUGGCAAGCGUUGUCCGGAUUUACUGGGCGUAAAGAGCGCGCAGGCGGUUUUUCAAGUCUCGUGUGAAAGCCCCCGGCUCAACUGGGGAGGGUCACGCGAUACUGCUCGACUCGAAGGCAGGAGAGGGAAGUGGAAUUCCCGGUGUAGUGGUGAAAUGCGUAGAUAUCGGGAGGAACACCAGUGGCGAAGGCGACUUCCUGGCCUGUACUUGACGCUGAGGCGCGAAAGCUAGGGUAGCAAACGGG